rnacentral:rRNA from 1 species
GUGGCGAACGGGUGCGUAACACGUGAGCAACCUGCCGUGAAGUGGGGGAUAGCUCGCCGAAAGGCGAAUUAAUACCGCAUAUGGCCAAGGAAGACAUCUUCCUGACGCCAAAGCCGGGGUAACCUGGCGCUUCUCGAGGGGCUCGCGGCCUAUCAGCUUGUUGGUGAGGUAACGGCUCACCAAGGCUAUGACGGGUAGCUGGUCUGAGAGGACGACCAGCCACACUGGAACUGAGACACGGUCCAGACACC